rnacentral:rRNA from 1 species
CCUACGGGUGGCAGCAGUGGGGAAUAUUGCACAAUGGGGGAAACCCUGAUGCAGCAACGCCGCGUGAGCGAUGAAGGCCUUCGGGUCGUAAAGCUCUGUCCUAAGGGAAGAAUACUGACGGUACCUUAGGAGGAAGCCCCGGCUAACUACGUGACAGCAGCAGCGGUAAUACGAAGGGGGCUAGAGUUAUCCGGAAUUACUGGGCGUAAAGGGUGCGUAGGCGGCCCUUCAAGUUAGAGGUGAAAGGCUAGUGCUCAACCGUAGGAAGCCUUUGAAACUGUAGGGCUUGAGUGGGGGAGAGGAGAGUGGAAUUCACCGUGUAGCGGUGAAAUGCGUAGAUAUUGGGAGGAACACCAGUUGCGAAGGCGGCUAUCUGGACUGUAACUGACGCUUAGGCACGAAAGCGUGGGGAGCGAACAGGAUUAGAUACCCUAGUAGUC